AUUCCUUCAAACCCUAGCCGUAAAUUGUAAUCCCAAAAUUUUCAGAAUUCACAUCCUCACCUUCCUCCCUUUGCUGCAAGAAGACGUUAAAUUUGGAUUUGUCUCGUCCUAGCUGUAGUAGACACGCACCUCUACAAUUCUCAUCUUUGUUUUCGCUAAACGAUACUUGGGAGCAUUGCGGAAGCAUUUUGGUGCAAAAGAUGGAAAAGUCGACGAAAGAGAGGCGAAAGCUCAUUUGCAAUUCGGAAAAGCUGACCCCUCUGCACUAUUUGACCAAUUUGGAUCGGUUAGAGGUCUCUAAUGAGUUUGUGUUCUUCAUAAGAGUUAAAGUAGACAUCCUGAGCUUUCCAAUGGUUCAAGAACCAACUCAUUUGGACAUUUCUACACCGAGUUAUGAAGUUUUGAAGUUCAAGGUUGUGGAGUCUGAAGUUUGCACGAAUCGUGCAACACCUUGCACGAAUCGUGCAUAAGUAGAGCAGAAGCAGAUUGUUCCCAGAGAUAUUGCACGAUCCGUGCACCCAUGUUAAGUUGGUUUGCACGAUUCGUGCAAAGGCUUAAAGUUAGAAUCGAAAAUCUGAAGAAAAGGACUAAGGCUUUUGCACAUUUCCUCUUUUGGCCCAACACUCAUUUGUAGGAUGUUUUUAUUUCCUUUUUGAGACUACUAUAAGUACUACUUUAUGAUUCAAAUUAGGUUAUGCAACAUUCAUAUUACUUUUAUUCCUUUUGUGUUGCUUCCUAAAAAAUAGCUUAGAAUCUUUUUAGAGUGGUGUGCUCCAUCUUUUCCACCAUUGUUGGUGAAGUUGAAGCUUUUAAUGUUUGAUUGAACAAGAUCUCUUAUUGAUUAAUGCAAGCUUAUUUAUUGUGGAA